GGUGCCAGGGGGACGGGGCUGUGCCCCCCACCCACCUGCUCUGUCCCCCCGCAGACCCGCUCAGACACCGCUGGACAGGCCGGGCGCGAUGCGGGCGCGGUGGCUGCUGCUCUGUGCCCUGGGUGGGCUGCUGGCAGGGGCCGGGGGCUCCCUCUUGCCCCCUGCUGCCCGUCGCCUGAUGGGCCGCUUCCAGCACCUGCUGGGGGGCAGCUGGGCGGAGUUGGGGCAGGAGGAGGGGCGCUUCGAGGCCCCCAUUGAUUUCCGCAAGCUUCCCCCCAACUACCACACCGAGGAGAAGGAGCAGCGCAGGGUGGGGAACGCCACGCUGUACAGCCACCGUGAGAUCAACAAGGUGACAGACAACAAGACGGGCGCGAUGCUGUUCUCUGACAGGACGGUGACCUCCAUCGAGCAGGGGGCGCGGGGCCUGGCGGAGAGAUGGCGGGGAAGCCAGACAGAGUCUAGAGAGGAAGGAGCAGGCGGUGGGGCAGAAGCAGAGCCUGUCCUAGGGAGACACGUCCUGCCAAUCCCCCGCCCCGGGCUGGCCUUCCUCAUCAUCCACUUACGGCGCAAAGCCAGGCCCGGGAAGGCCUCUGACACCAGCUGGCCAGACGGCGCAUCCCUUAGCGACAGGAGGCACAGGCUGCUAGCUAUCCGGGAUGGGCUGAUGGAAGCCCCCCGCCCUCCGAAGAAGGCUCCCCCCCUUACUCUGGCCUGGCACAAAGCUGUAGCACGGAGGCCGCAUUUUUUCUUCUUCUUCAGGAAGCUGUAGCAAAAAGGGAGAGAGAGACCGUGGCCGGCGAUGGAGAGGAUACACCCCCUGCGGGAGGGCUGCCUGAGUGACCAUGGUUGCUGGACGGCCCACUUCUGCUCCUCUUCCCUCUUUGCCAGCCAGGGCUGGGAGUGUAAAGCUAAGCACAUGAUUCAGCACAAUGUCCAUAUGCCAGAGGCCUGAGGGCAACAUGGAUUUGAGGGGCUUGGGCCAACAGCUGUCUUUCCUCCAGCCAAGCCUGGUGCACAGGGAAGAGGCAGUGGCAUACUACAGCACCAACUCUUUGCCAGGGUCACUGCAAGAUGGCCAUGGUUCGGUAGCCAACCUCCCCAGAGGUACCACUUCUGUGGAGGACAAUGGCCAAGCCAAGAGGCUGAGUGAAGAGCUAGUGGAUGGCUACGAAGGGGAGAGGCUGCCAUUAGACACAGAUGAUCCUGACCAAUCCAAUUUCCAGUAAAUGGCCAAUCAGCUGGGACAGUACUUUGGGCCUGGCUUUUACUGAGGACUCACGCUCAGCUAUGGCCAUUAACGAUUGACCUGGCUCAUCCCUCCCUUCUCUCUUUUUCCUUCACCUUUUCCACCUCUUCAUAGUUUUCCACCUAAAUCAGUAGCUUUUCCAGACAAAUAUCCUGACAGUGACCGAUUUCCGGCCGCUUUGCAGCAAAUCAACCUCAGUUAUUUGAUUGAAAUUAAACACACAGCAGAUUCAUAUUACCCCCGGGCAAUGGCUUCUCAUUGCAUGCAGUAAUUGUGGUUUUUAUUGCUUCAGGGGGCUUGAAUCCUGUU